GGCAGGGGCUGGGCACGGGCUGGGCAGGGCUGGGCACAGACUGGGCAUGGACUGGGCACGGGCU
ensembl:miRNA